rnacentral:rRNA from 1 species
AGAGUUUGAUCCUGGCUCAGAUUGAACGCUGGCGGCAUGCCUUACACAUGCAAGUCGAACGGCAGCGCGGGGCAACCUGGCGGCGAGUGGCGAACGGGUGAGUAAUAUAUCGGAACGUACCCUGGAGUGGGGGAUAACGUAGCGAAAGUUACGCUAAUACCGCAUACGAUCUAAGGAUGAAAGUGGGGGAUCGCAAGACCUCAUGCUCCUGGAGCGGCCGAUAUCUGAUUAGCUAGUUGGCGGGGUAAAAGCCCACCAAGGCAACGAUCAGUAGCUGGUCUGAGAGGACGACCAGCCACACUGGAACUGAGACACGGUCCAGACUCCUACGGGAGGCAGCAGUGGGGAAUUUUGGACAAUGGGCGCAAGCCUGAUCCAGCAAUGCCGCGUGAGUGAAGAAGGCCCUCGGG